AUCAAAACACAAAUAACAGUCAAGGUACAAAUUCGAAGUAUAAUUGUUCCACAAGAUCUUAAAUUAUCAAGAAAGAGUUCAAAAUUUAAGUUAUUAUAGCCAUCUUGGAGUUUUAUCUUCAACUGAUAGUGUGAUUCAAAAUUCAGAUAAUAUUCACUUGACAAAAUGCAGGACAGAUCUAGCGAGUGGGUAACUCCAGUAGAGGACACUUCAAACGUUGCCAAACAAACAAUGGCCAUGGUCAUUCAAUCACAAAAGGUAAGGACACGUUAUCAAACUAC